rnacentral:misc_RNA from 1 species
ACAAACUUGGUCAUUUAGAGGAAGUAAAAGUCGUAACAAGGUUUCCGUAGGUGAACCUGCGGAAGGAUCAUUAUCGAGUUUUUUGGAGGAUGUGCUGGCACCGGCUAUCGAGCCUUUUGCAUGUGCACUCCGACAAAUAUCUCUAAAUCCACCUGUGCACAAGAUGUAGACAGAGAAAUGGUUACAUUUGAUCGUCUACGUUUUUUAUAACACAACCUUUAAGUUCAAAAGAAUGGUUGGUGACUCGUUCAAACGAGUUUUAAUUCAUUACAACUUUCAACAAUGGAUCUCUUGGUUCUCGCAUCGAUGAAGAACGCAGC